UAUUUUUUAUUUUAAUGAAAACAUAUGAAAUAGCAGAAAAUCACAUAUAUUUUAUCCUAAGCAUACAGCAGAUUCAGCAGACUUCACAGUUCAUUGGACACCUUUAAGGACCUUGGGGCAAUUGUCUAAGUAGUCACCAAGCAGAUACACUGCUUUGAUAUUGUAACUGAAACCUCAUCUUUGAGCAGGAUAAAUUUCUUCAAAAUAUAUUAUGGCAAACACCAGUCCCUCUACAAACAUGGUGCUGUAGCCAAGGCAGCCAAGACCAGCUCCUCACUGAAAACACACUACAAAUAAAUGUAGGCAGAGAAAAUGAGACCCUCAGGUAUUCGUCCUAGAAAACACGCACAUCAGAUCCGGUAUAUCGGGACCUCGCUGGCCUCACCAACUGUCUUGGGUAGCUCCAUGGCUCAGACUACAUCAUACUCUGAGGAAAAAUCCCCCAGCAAGGUGGAAAUGCUUUUCAAGGAAGAAGCAAGGGGAAGGUGAAGAUGACUGUCUGAUUGGGAGCUACAUAUGUGACUGAGAGGAGGCAGAACCACCUGAAUCUCUCAACUGUCCCUUUAGUUGUUGCUUUAUUGAAAAACAGAAGAGGAUAAUAUACAGAAAAUUUUGCAGGGCAGUACAAGGGCUACUCAUACAUCCCACAUGACUGUUCCUGGGAGUUUUUGCAUAGUGAACUGUGACAGAGUAAACUGGGAAGAAAUUUCUACAGGUUAUUUCAGUUAGCCACUAACACUUCCAGAAUUGCCUAGACUGAGAGAGACUGGAGGGAAAGGCUGGGGGAUGAACCUGGAGUACUUCAAGAUCCAGCUUUUUCUAAGAGGAAGGAAAGCAAUUAAAAAACAACAACAACAACAAAAAAAGACUGCAUAUUAAUCAUAUUAAUGAAUGUCCAAGAAGAAAUUUGCUUUAAGUGGUGUAUGAACACCUUGUUAAACUAAGACCCCCAGAAGAGUAGAAUAAACUAAAAGAGUGCAAGCUAUGUACUGACUGCCCUCUUUUAACAGAUUUGAAAAUGUUUUCUGGAUACUCCUAGUAUUAGACAAUAUAUUAGACUAAUUUAUGCCAUGUAAAUAACCUGGGAAGCAUGGAAAUAUUAUACUUCGAUCUAAAAGUAAAAAAAAAUGUUUAACUGAGAGAGUAUCUUUCUUAUCUAUCUGAAAACACAGCGUAGCAUUGUUACAAAUCAGCAAGGGAGUAGCAAAUUAUUUACUUUAUCAUUUGUGGCAGUUUGGGAUAAAUAUAUUUACAAUGUGUCAUCCAUAGCUCCUUAUCAAGUUUCAGGCCACAACAAUUUGUUAUUACAGUGUACCCUCUAUAUGAUAACUUCUUGAAAAGUUUG